UACGUAGGGUGCAAGCGUUGUCCGGAAUUUAUUGGGCGUAAAGAGCUUGUAGGCGGUUUGUCGCGUCUGCUGUGAAAUUUCGGGGCGUCAACCCCGAACCUUGCAGUGGGUACGGGGCAGGACUAGAGUGUGGUAGGGGAGACUGGAAGUUCCUGGUGUAGCGGUGAAAUGCGCAGGAUAUCAGGAGGAACACCGGUGGCGAAGGCGGGUCUCUGGGCCGAUGACUGACGCUGAGGAGCGAAAGCGUGGGGAGCGAACAGG
rnacentral:rRNA from 1 species